rnacentral:rRNA from 1 species
AUACAGAGGGUGCGAGCGUUAAUCGGAAUUACUGGGCGUAAAGCGUACGUAGGCGGUUAAGUCAGUCAGAUGUGAAAGCCCUGGGCUCAACCUGGGAACUGCAUAUGAUACUGCUUGGCUAGAAUAUGGUAGAGGGAAGUGGAAUUCCGGGUGUAGCGGUGAAAUGCGUAGAUAUCCGGAGGAACACCAGUGGCGAAGGCGGCUUCCUGGACCAAUAUUGACGCUGAGGUACGAAAGCGUGGGUAGCAAACAGGAUUAGAAACCCUGGUAGUCC